rnacentral:rRNA from 1 species
GAUGAACGCUGGCGGCGUGCCUAAUACAUGCAAGUCGAGCGCACAGACGAGGAGCUUUCCCCUUUUACGUUAGCUGCGGACGGGUUAGUAACACGUGGGAAACCCUCCUACAAGACUGGGGUUACUUUUUGAAACCGGAUGCAAAUACGGAAAAUAACUUGAUGCGCAUUGACCAAUAGUUAAAGGCCGCUUUGCCGUCACCUAUAGAUGGAUCCGCGCUGCAUUAGCUAGUUGGUAGGGUAAAGGCCUACCAAGACAACGAUGCGUAGCCGACCUGAGAGACUGAUCGGCCACAUUGGGACUGAGACACGGCCCAAACUCCUACGGGAGGCAGCAGUAGGGAAUCUUCCACAAUGGGCGAAAGCCUGACGGAGCAACGCCGCGUGAGUGAUGAAGGUCUUCGGGUCGUAAAGCACUGUUGUAUGGGAAGAACAGCUAUGAAAGUAAAUGAGCACAUUUUGACGGUACCAAACCAGAAAGCGACGGCUAAAUACGUG